UACAGAGGGGGGCAAGCGUUGUUCGGAAUUACUGGGCGUAAAGGGCGCGUAGGCGGCCUGUUAAGUCGAACGUGAAAUCCCCGGGCUCAACCCGGGAACUGCGUCCGAUACUGGCAGGCUUGAAUCCGGGAGAGGGAUGCGGAAUUCCAGGUGUAGCGGUGAAAUGCGUAGAUAUCUGGAGGAACACCGGUGGCGAAGGCGGCAUCCUGGACCGGCAUUGACGCUGAGGCGCGAAAGCGUGGGGAGCGAACUGA
rnacentral:rRNA from 1 species